UGACUAGCCAUCCCCAAGCUUCUCACCCAGUGGCGUCCUUUAAUUACACUGGCACUUCUUUUGAAGGGAUAUCUGCCACCCAAAGUGGCCUUCUCACUUCUGGAAGGAGGCCAGAAAGCUUCAGUCUUUGCUGCCAUGUUAGGGACUUGAGUUUAUCUCAGGAGUGUUUUGGAGAGCGGCUUUUCCAGCAGCAUGUGGCUCAAUUGCCUGGGGAGGAAGUAGCAGACCCUUCCCAUCUUCAGCAAAACUGAGGUCUUUGUUGUGGAUUCAGUGGCCUCGUCUUGGCUCCAAGAGGGAGAUGAGACAGAGGAACUUCUAUCAAGAAACACACUGAACACCUCAGGCUUUCAUGCCCCAAAGGUCACCAGGCCUCUGCCAGGAUCCAAGCAUUCUUUUUGCCACCCCACAAAGCUCAUCUAUUUUACACUCUUGCCAAAGGCCAGUCCUUUAGGGAUUUAAAACUUUGGUCCUUCUAUUAAAUGCUAUUAUGUAUCUGA